AGCUUCAGUAGCGUAUAUUAAAGUUGUUGCAGUUAAAAAGCUCGUAGUCGCAUUUCUGGCGAGAGGAUCCGGUCCGACCUUUUGGUGGGUUCUUGGGUCUCUUUCGCCAUCCUUGAGUGGUCCGUUCUGGCAUUAGGUUGUCGGAGCGUCAGCCGCUCAUCGUUUACUGUGAGAAAAUUAGAGUGUUCACGGCAGGCUUAUGCCGUUGAAUAUAUUAGCAUGGAAUAAUAAGAUAGGACCUCGGUACUAUUUUGUUGGUUUGCGCACCAAGGUAAUGAUGAACAGGGACAGUUGGGGGUAUUUGUAUUUCGUUGUCAGAGGUGAAAUUCUUAGAUUUACGAAAGACAAACUACUGCGAAAGCAUUUACCAAGGAUGUUUUCA
rnacentral:rRNA from 1 species